AACGUAGGUUCCGAGCGUUAUCCGGAUUUACUGGGCGUAAAGCGCGUUCAGGCGGUUUGGCAAGUCGGGCAUGAAAUCUCUCGGCUCAACCGGGAGAGGUUGUCCGAUACUGCUGGACUUGAGGGCAGUAGAGGGUGGUGGAAUUCCGGGUGUAGUGGUGAAAUGCGUAGAUAUCCGGAGGAACACCAGUGGCGAAAGCGGCCACCUGGACUGUACCUGACGCUGACACGCGAAAGCUAGGGGAGCAAACGGG
rnacentral:rRNA from 1 species